rnacentral:lncRNA from 1 species
AUGAUUUUCCCCAAUUUUGGGUCACCCAGUCCCGGUGUUUGUCAGAUUUCGGGUGUUUUUGUCCAAUUUUGGGUGUUUUUGUCCCAGAUUUUGGGUGUUUCAGUCGAAUUUUGGGUGUUUCAGUCCAAUUUUGGGUGUUUUUGUCCAAUUUUGGUUGUUUUUGUCCCAGAUUUCGGUUGUUUCAGUCCGAUUUUGGGUGUUUUUGUCCCAGAUUUUGGCUGUUUUUGUCCAAUUUCGGGUGUUUCAGUCCAAUUUGGGGUGUUUCAGUCCGAUUUUGGGUGUUUUUGUCCCAGAUUUCAGUUGUUUUUGUCCAAUUUCGGUUGUUUUUGUCCCAGAUUUCAGUUGUUUUUGUCCAAUUUCGGUUGUUUCAGUCGGAUUUGGGGUGUUUCAGUCGGAUUUCGGGUGUUUUUUGUCCAAUUUCGGGUGUUUUUGUCCCAGAUUCAGCCACAGCAGCGCCAGGUUAACCCCGUAGGUGCUGACACAAACCACGCACAGCUCCUGACCCCAAACCCCGGGGUUUCAGUCGGAUUUGGGGUGUUUCAGUCAGAUUUCGGCUGUUUUUGUCCAAUUUCGGGUGUUUCAGUCGGAUUUGGGCUGUUUUUGUCCCAGAUUACGGUUGUUUCAGUCGGAUUUGGGGUGUUUUUGGGUGAGAUUCAGCCCCAGCAGCGCCAGGUUAACCCCGUAGGUGCUGACACAAACCACGCACA